UACGUAGGGAGCAAGCGUUGUCCGGAAUCAUUGGGCGUAAAGCGCGCGUAGGCGGCCCCGUAAGUCCGCUGUGAAAGUCAAAGGCUCAACCUUUGAAAGCCGGUGGAUACUGUGGGGCUAGAGUCCGGAAGAGGCGAGUGGAAUUCCUGGUGUAGCGGUGGAAUGCGCAGAUAUCAGGAGGAACACCAAGAGCGAAGGCAGCUCGCUGGGACGGUACUGACGCUAAGGCGCGAAAGCGUGGGGAGCGAACAGG
rnacentral:rRNA from 1 species